UACGUGUGGCAUACAGGGAGCCAGGCACAACCCAUUUCACCUUUUUUUUCAUCUUCUAAACCUCUUUAGCUCCCUUUCAUCCAAAGGUAAAACCUAUCUCUUUCACAAAGAAACGCAAGUCACCACCCUAGGGGGUUGUGGAGAGGGGUGAUUUGAG